AUUAAACGCUGGCGGCAUGCCUUACACAUGCAAGUCGAACGGCAGCACGGGGGCAACCCUGGUGGCGAGUGGCGAACGGGGUGAGUAAAGCAUCGGAACGUGCCCUGGAGUGGGGGGAUAAACGUAGCGAAAGUUACGCUAAUACCGCAUAUUCUGUGAGCUAGGAAAGCAGGGGGAUCGCAAGACCUUGCGCUUUGGGAGCGGCCGAUGUCGGAUUAGCUAGUUGGUGGGGUAAAGGCCUACCAAGGCGACGAUCCGUAGCGGGUCUGAGAGGAUGAUCCGCCACACUGGGACUGAGACACGGGCCCAGACUCCUACGGGAGGCAGCAGUGGGGAAUUUUUGGACAAUGGGCGCAAGCCUGAUCCAGCCAUGCCGCGUGAGUGAAGAAGGCCU
rnacentral:rRNA from 1 species